rnacentral:misc_RNA from 1 species
GUGGAUAAAUAAUACGAAGCAAAAGUUUACCUCUUGAUCUUUUCUUCCGUGGUCUGACCCGAGUUCUCGAUGUCUCGAACGAUCUCCGUGUACUUAGCAAUGAACGUCGUAAUAUCAGUGAUCAAAGCGAUGAACUGCUGUCGUAACAGAAGUAACUGGCGAAGUUUCGCAAUUUGCGAUUCUAUAGCCUUUAUGAGGAUGUCGAACUGCUGCAACCAAUCGCUUAUUCGCUCGUAUUCGUCCUUGUAAUCUCUCCAUUGACUCACGGUUUGUUCCAAUUGAUCCUUUUGUUGCUUGAUCUCUGUGGAA